rnacentral:rRNA from 1 species
GAUGAACGCUGGCGGCGUGCCUAAUACAUGCAAGUCGAGCGAACAGAUGAGGAGCUUGCUCCUCUGACGUUAGCAGCGGACGGGUGAGUAACACGUGGAUAACCUACCUAUAAGACUGGGAUAACUUCGGGAAACCGGAGCUAAUACCGGAUAAUAUAUUGAACCGCAUGGUUCAAUAGUGAAAGACGGUUUUGCUGUCACUUAUAGAUGGAUCCGCGCCGCAUUAGCUAGUUGGUAAGGUAACGGCUUACCAAGGCAACGAUGCGUAGCCGACCUGAGAGGGUGAUCGGCCACACUGGAACCGAGACACGGUCCAGACUCCUACGGGAGGCAGCAGUAGGGAAUCUUCCGCAAUGGGCGAAAGCCUGACGGAGCAACGCCGCGUGAGUGAUGAAGGUCUUCGGAUCGUAAAACUCUGUUAUUAGGGAAGAACAAAUGUGUAAGUAACUAUGCACGUCUUGACGGUACCUAAUCAGAAAGCCACGGCUAACUACGUG